GGAUUAACGCUGGCGGCAUGCCUAAUACAUGCAAAUCGAACGAAGCCUUUUAGGCUUAGUGGUGAACGGGUGAGUAACACGUAUCCAAUCUACCCUUAAGUUAGGGAUAACUAGUCGAAAGAUUAGCUAAUACCCAAUAAUAACAUUUGAUYGCAUGAUYGAAUGUAGAAAGUCGCGUUUGCGACGCUUUUGGAUGAGGGUGCGACGUAUCAGAUAGUUGGUGAGGUAAUGGCUCACCAAGUCAAUGACGCGUAGCUGUACUGAGAGGUAGAACAGCCACAAUGGGACUGAGACACGGCCCAUACUCCUACGGGAGGCAGCAGUAGGGAAUUUUUCACAAUGGGCGAAAGCCUUAUGAAGCAAUGCCGCGUGAACGAUGAAGGUCUUAUAGAUUGUAAAGUUCUUUUAUUUGGGAAGAAAUGUUAAGAUAGGAAAUGAUUUUAACUUGACUGUACCAUUUGAAUAAGUAUCGGCUAACUAUGUGCCAGCAGCCGCGGUAAUACAUAGGAUGCAAGCGUUAUCCGGAUUUACUGGGCGUAAAACGAGCGCAGGCGGGUCUACAAGUUUGGUAUUAAAUCUAGAUGCUCAACGUCUAGCUGUAUCAAAAACUGUAAACCUAGAGUGUAGUAGGGAGUUGGGGAACUCCAUGUGGAGCGGUAAAAUGCGUAGAUAUAUGGAAGAACACCGGUGGCGAAGGCGCCAACUUAGACUAUCACUGACGCUUAGGCUCGAAAGUGUGGGGAGCAAAUAGGAUUAGAUACCCUAGUAGUCCACACCGUAAACGAUGAUCAUUAAAUGUCGGYCCGAAUGGGUCGGUGUUGUAGCUAACGCAUUAAAUGAUCUGCCUGGGUAGUACAUUCGCAAGAAUGAAACUCAAACGGAAUUGACGGGGACCCGCACAAGUGGUGGAGCAUGUUGCUUAAUUUGACAAUACACGUAGAACCUUACCUAGGUUUGACAUCUAUUGCAAUGUUAUAGAAAUAUAACGGAGGUUAACAAUAUGACAGGUGGUGCAUGGUUGUCGUCAGCUCGUGUCGUGAGAUGUUGGGUUAAGUCCCGCAACGAGCGCAACCCCUUUCGUUAGUUAAUUUUUUAACGAUACUGCUACUGCAAAGUAGAGGAAGGUGGGGAUGACGUCAAAUCAUCAUGCCCCUUAUAUCUAGGGCUGCAAACGUGCUACAAUGGCUAAUACAAAGUGUCGCUACUUCGUAAGAAGAUGCCAAUCACAUAAAGUUAGUCUCAGUUCGGAUUGAGGGCUGCAAUUCGCCCUCAUGAAGUUGGAAUCACUAGUAAUCGCGAAUCAGACAUGUCGCGGUGAAUACGUUCUCGGGUCUUGUACACACCGCCCGUCAAACUAUGGGAGCUGGUAAUAUCUAAAACCGUAUUGCUAACCGCAAGGAGGCGUACGUCUAGGGUAGGAUCGGUGACUGGAGUUAAGUCGUAACAAGGUAUCCCUACGAGAACGUGGGGAUGGAUCACCUCCUUUCU
rnacentral:rRNA from 1 species